GAUGAACGCUAGCGGCAGGCUUAACACAUGCAAGUCGAGGGGCAGCAUGACGGAACUUUCGGGUUCUGUUGAUGGCGACCGGCGCAAGGGUGCGUAACGCGUGAGCAACUUGCCCGUUUCUGGGGCAUAACCGGUGGAAACGCCGACUAAUUCCCCAUAGUAUCCAUUGGAGGCAUCUCUUAUGGAUUAAAGGAUUUCGGAAACGGAUAGGCUCGCGUGACAUUAGCUAGAUGGCGGGGUAACGGCCCACCAUGGCGACGAUCGUUAGGGGUUCUGAGAGGAAGGUCCCCCACACUGGAACUGAGACACGGUCCAGACUCCUACGGGAGGCAGCAGUGAGGAAUAUUGGUCAAUGGGCGGAGCCUGAACCAGCCAAGUAGCGUGAAGGAAGACUGCCCUACGGGUUGUAAACUUCUUUUGUUUGGGAAUAAAGACGCUACGUGUAGCGUUGUGCAUGUACCCUACGAAUAAGCAUCGGCUAAUUCCGUG
rnacentral:rRNA from 1 species